CAGCAGCCGCGGUAAUACAGAGGGUGCGAGCGUUAAUCGGAUUUACUGGGCGUAAAGCGUGCGUAGGCGGCUAAUUGAGUCGGAUGUGAAAUCCCCGAGCUUAACUUGGGAAUUGCAUUCGAUACUGGUUAGCUAGAGUGUGGGAGAGGAUGGUAGAAUUCCAGGUGUAGCGGUGAAAUGCGUAGAGAUCUGGAGGAAUACCGAUGGCGAAGGCAGCCAUCUGGCCUAACACUGACGCUGAGGUACGAAAGCAUGGGGAGCAAACAGGAUUAGAGACCCGAGUAGUCCCUGUCUCUUAUAC
rnacentral:rRNA from 1 species